rnacentral:tRNA from 1 species
GGUUAGAGCGCGCGCUUGAUAAGCGUGAGGUCGGAAGUUCAAGUCUUCCCUGGCC